rnacentral:misc_RNA from 1 species
UCAUCCUCUCCAAUCCUAGCCAACCAGUUGUUUCCACUAACAUCCUCGUUAUUAUGAUCAGAGCUACCAUUAUUGUUGAUCAUACUACUUCCUACAGCAGAACCAGCUACAACCAGAGCAUUGAACUCUCUGCUCAUGGUGUUGAAGUUCUCACUUAAAGCUCCUUCACUACUCAUGGACGUCGAGUUUGACUGAUGGCUGCCAGUUUCCCAACGGCCCCGGGGGACGGGUGGCGGGUGUGGUGGUGUCAGGGCGUGGAUAUCACGGAUAUGUUCAUUUUCAUCAUGAUCACGGUGGUCGUGAUGACGGGUUUCUCCGCUAGUAGUGGCCGUGCUGGUCGUGGGUCCUUGAGCACUUAGCAUAGAGGGGGCUUUUAGCGUGUGCGUGGAAAGAGGGUAGAGAAGAGGGCUAUGAAAGAAUGGAAUUAUUAG